rnacentral:rRNA from 1 species
UAGGGAAUCUUCGGCAAUGGGGGCAAACCCUGACCGAGCAACGCCGCGUGAGUGAAGAAGGUUUUCGGAUCGUAAAGCUCUGUUGUAAGAGAAGAACGUGUGUGAGAGUGGAAAGUUCACACAGUGACGGUAACUUACCAGAAAGGGACGGCUAACUACGUGCAG